rnacentral:rRNA from 1 species
GAUGAACGCUGGCGGCGUGCUUAACACAUGCAAGUCGAACGAUGAAGCCCAGCUUGCUGGGUGGAUUAGUGGCGAACGGGUGAGUAACACGUGAGUAACCUGCCCUUAACUCUGGGAUAAGCCUGGGAAACUGGGUCUAAUACCGGAUAGGAGCGUCCACCGCAUGGUGGUUGUUGGAAAGAUUUAUCGGUUUUGGAUGGACUCGCGGCCUAUCAGCUUGUUGGUGAGGUAAUGGCUCACCAAGGCGACGACGGGUAGCCGGCCUGAGAGGGUGACCGGCCACACUGGGACUGAGACACGGCCCAGACUCCUACGGGAGGCAGCAGUGGGGAAUAUUGCACAAUGGGCGCAAGCCUGAUGCAGCGACGCCGCGUGAGGGAUGACGGCCUUCGGGUUGUAAACCUCUUUCAGUAGGGAAGAAGCGAAAGUGACGGUACCUGCAGAAGAAGCACCGGCUAACUACGUG